AUUGAACGCUGGCGGCAGGCCUAACACAUGCAAGUCGAGCGGAAACGAGAAUAGCUUGCUAUUCGGCGUCGAGCGGCGGACGGGUGAGUAAUGCCUGGGAAAUUGCCCUGAUGUGGGGGAUAACCAUUGGAAACGAUGGCUAAUACCGCAUAAUAGCUUCGGCUUAAAGAGGGGGACCUUCGGGCCUCUCGCUUCAGGAUAUGCCCAGGUGGGAUUAGCUAGUUGGUAAGGUAAUGGCUUACCAAGGCUACGAUCGGUAGCUGUUCUGAGAGGAAGAUCAGCCACACUGGGACAGAGACACGGCCCAGACUCCUACGGGAGGCAGCAGUGGGGAAUAUUGGACAAUGGGGGCAACCCUGAUCCAGCAAUGCCACGUGUGUGAAGAAGGCCUUAGGGUUGUAAAGCACUUUCAUUAGUGAGGAAGGUAUUUAGGUUAAGAGCUAAGAUACUUGACGUUAACUAAAGAAGAAGCACCGGCUAACUCUGUGCCAGCAGCCGCGGUAAUACAGAGGGUGCAAGCGUUAAUCGGAAUUACUGGGCGUAAAGCGUCCGUAGGCUGUUAUUUAAGUCAGAUGUGAAAGCCCUGGGCUCAACCUAGGAACUGCAUCUGGUACUGGAUAACUGGAGUCCUGUAGAGGGGGGUAGAAUUUCA
rnacentral:rRNA from 1 species